CGAUCCCUCGCGGGAGAGAUCAUUGCCCGGCCACCGGAAAGCCGGAUGCCGGGCAAUGGCGCCGAAGGAGCAACCGCCCCGGAAACUCUCAGGCAAAAGGACCGCAAGGGGGAU
rnacentral:ncRNA from 2 species